rnacentral:rRNA from 1 species
CUACAUUUUAAGAUUAGAUCUCAAAUCAGGUAGGACUACCCGCUGAACUUAA